GGGAUUACAGCCAUGUUGAAAUACCAGUUCUUAUAUGAUCACCAAAGUUAAGCAAUGUUGAGCCUGGUCAUUACCUAGAUGUGUGACUGCUUGGGAAUACCAGGUGCUGUA
rnacentral:rRNA from 1 species